rnacentral:rRNA from 1 species
UACGAAGGGGGCUAGCGUUGUCCGGAAUCACUGGGCGUAAAGGGCGCGUAGGUGGCGCGGGUAGUCAUCGGUGAAAGCUCAGGGCUCAACCCUGAGUCGGCCGGUGAUACUCCCGUGCUUGAGUGUGGUAGAGGCCAAUGGAAUUCCGGGUGUAGCGGUGGAAUGCGUAGAGAUCCGGAAGAACACCGGUGGCGAAGGCGGUUGGCUGGGCCACAACUGACACUGAUGCGCGACAGCGUGGGGAGCAAACAGG